ACAGUAACACAACUCACCCCCGCCGGCCGCUCUCUUAUCUCUCCCACGCCUCUCUCUCUCCUCCAAACUUCUCUCUUUGAUUUCAUCUUCAUAGAAAGAGAUUUUUUCAAAAUCUCAAGUAUUAAAGUUGUUCUACGCGACGAGAUCUUCCUAUCGAUCCAAGAAGAAUCAUGAUCGGAGCACUUUGAGGUUUCCUCCAUGUUCGGGCUUGCUUCUAACCUUCGAGGAAAAUUCGCGAUGUGCUACAUGUCGUGCACGGGAGGACGACUGAGUACUACCAUGGGAAAAUCUUGGAUGGCUUGAGGUCUGACAGCUUGUUCAUGUCAAACUAUCCCUACCGAAGACUUGGACAAGAUGAUGGAGUCUUCGAGUGUGGAAAUGGAAGUCCUGCACACUUAGCACCCGUGUUGGUGCCGAGCCCGGAUCGUUGGGAGUCCAGGAAAGGCACUCUGACGAUCAAGUCAGUACAGAGGAGAGAAAGGGGAAAGGUCAGAGUAGGUAUGAGAGUUUUUGGGGAGAGAAAAGCUUACCUCCUUCUGAAAGAGGAGCACUCCUUUUAUAGGCAGAGGUAACUUGGAGCCUAACCCACGUGUGAGCACCACACGCUCGGUGGUUGGGGCUAAGUUGAGAUGCUUAGACAGGCCUAUUCUUAUCCAAAAGCCUGUCACGAGCUCUGCCCUCCACUCAUUUGCCAAGUUGGGCGGUGUCACGGUAGCUUCCAUCCACCUGUUGGCCUUUAGCUGUCACGACACCUAACCCUCCCACCUGUACAACUCUUCCUGGCUUCCUCAAGGGACUGCGGUAGCUCGACAUCAGGUUAUAUGUCUGGACACGUACGUCUGGCAGCAUGGCUGGGACACCCCAUUAUGCCAAGUAACCUUGGUCCGGCGAGAGCACGCCGGUCCGGCGAGAGCACGCCGGGCAAUAGGAGAUCGCUGAGCCUAUCAGACAUGGUUAAACUCUUGGACCUCUUGUUCUUAGUAUCGGACGGGACGAGCCCAGUUCGGCGAGUCGUCUCGACAACAAUAGUUCGGCAGAGAUCCCCAAGUAUCAAGUAGCCUUGGUCCGGCAUGCACCCUUCGGACACUCGGGGUGAAGGACCAGUCCACCCCUGAUGAACGAGCUCUGCGAUCCUCAUGUCUGGCGGUGCGCCCGGCAGCAAGCUCCUGACGAUAUUCCAUGUCAGCAGCACUCAAGUCAUCGGUCAACCCGUGGACCUCUGUGGUUGACCCGUUGCCUAGGUGACGUGGCUGAACCCUUUGGUCCUUGUCCGAACCCGGCCACCACAUAUAUUUACAGUGUCAGUAUGUAUGAUUGAUCAGACUCAAUUUUUUUGCACCAUGGACGAGUUGUUGGGACCCACAUGUUAUGGACCUUUUUUAAUAAAAUUUUUAGAGUUCAUUAUUAUUGAUUGUUAGCUUUAAGGGACCAAAGUGUAUUGACUUGUAAACAUAUCAAUUGGUGAAGGAAUUACUUGGAGGGGACUAGUGCAAUUUUUACAUGUAUAUAUGUUGGAGACAUCAGAGAACUCAAUGCCAUUUCUCUUCUUUCUUUUUCUUUUUUUUUUUUUCCCGUUGCUCUCUCUCCAACACCAUAAACCCUAGACUUCAACCCCAAAAUUGAAGACCAAGGCUCGCGAAUUUCACAAAGGGUGAAGAGGAAACAUUGAUCUACGGAAAGAGAGCUACGCAUCGAUCCAAACAAAGUUGCCAUCAGACAACUUUGGGAUCCCUAGCGAAUUGGGGCUUUUCUCCUCUUGAGGUAGGGUUUUCUACUAGUCUCUUUAAAAUGCAAGUUACCAUGUAUGAAAAUAAUUACUGUUGAGAGUUCAAGCAUGAUAAGAAAAAAAGCCCUAAUUUGAGUUCUAUGGUACAAGUUUAAAAUUUUACGUAUGAAUUGCAAUUUAUGGGUUUAAUGUGUUGUCUAAUGCGAUAAAAAUAUUUUGCCUCAGAGUAUUUGUGGUUCUUAACAUGAGGAUUAUGUUUCACCUUUUCAUACUAGUGGUAUUUCAAAGCCCUAUAUGAUUGCUCGAUGUGUUUUUCUUUCUUGGUGUUUUAUGAAGAGCAUGUUUGGAGAUUUUUAGAUACGUGUUUAUCUUAGUUUGGCAAAAGUGGAAAGCAGUUAAAGAGUUGAGUUGUUUAAGUGAAUAAAAAUGAUGAAUUCUAUGUAAGUCUAUAAAAUUUGAUUUUUGGAGGUUUGGAUUUUCUUGAUUUCUAUGGUGUAUGUUAAGAAUUUGAUAUUGAUAGCAGUUACAUGUUGGAUUUGGAUUUGAUGCUAGUUAUUUGAGCUAGUGAGCCAUGUAUUGAGGCCGGCAAGAAUUAGCAUUGACAGACACUAUGGUGGAGAUAACUUUUGUUCUUUGACGAGUUUAUCCAAGUGUUGUUUUGUUGGGCUUGGAAGGCUAUCUUUUGACUGCAUGUAUAUAUAUUCCUUUUGUAAUGGAAAAUGGUAAAAGUACUCUACUGAAGAAAUGUUUUGCUACGUCUUUUUUCAAAUGGAAAGGAAAGCUUGUACUUUCUUUUGUAGUUGAAGAUUCCUAUUUUGUUAAGGAGUUUGUAAUUAAGUGUGAGCUACUACAUGGUGUAAUUAUAUCGUUUAAUGUAUCUAUGGCACACAUAUAAGUUUUCAAUUUUCCACUUAGAAAAGAAA